UAAUGCGGAAGAGACCAUGUUAUAUGGCGCCGAAGGAACAAGUUGAUGGGUAGCCGAUCCACAAUGAAACUCUCAGGCAAAAGGACCGUAUUG
rnacentral:ncRNA from 1 species